GAUGAACGCUGGCGGCGUGCCUAAUACAUGCAAGUCGAGCGAACGGACGAGAAGCUUGCUUCUCUGAUGUUAGCGGCGGACGGGUGAGUAACACGUGGAUAACCUACCUAUAAGACUGGGAUAACUUCGGGAAACCGGAGCUAACACCGGAUAAUAUUUUGAACCGCAUGGUUCAAAAGUGAAAGACGGUCUUGCUGUCACUUAUAGAUGGAUCCGCGCUGCAUUAGCUAGUUGGUAAGGUAACGGCUUACCAAGGCAACGAUGCAUAGCCGACCUGAGAGGGUGAUCGGCCACACUGGAACUGAGACACGGUCCAGACUCCUACGGGAGGCAGCAGUAGGGAAUCUUCCGCAAUGGGCGAAAGCCUGACGGAGCAACGCCGCGUGAGUGAUGAAGGUCUUCGGAUCGUAAAACUCUGUUAUUAGGGAAGAACAUAUGUGUAAGUAACUGUGCACAUCUUGACGGUACCUAAUCAGAAAGCGACGGCUAACUACGUG
rnacentral:rRNA from 1 species